UGAUUCUUGUAAAGUUCACUCUUUUAAAUACUGUCUGCGAUCUUUCCAUCACUCGCAGCUCCCUUAAUGGCGAUAAUCACAGAAGAACCAGAACCAGCACCAGCCCCACAGCUUAAAAAACGAAAAGGAAGAAAUGAACAAACUUUACCACCUGAAACCCCAAAUCCCAAAGCAGAGUCUCAAACGCAGACACGAAACAACCCGUUUAUUUUCUGGUUCUACUUCGCUCUUUCCGUGUCUCUGAUCACUCUCUCAGUUAUCAUUUUGUCCUCUUUCUCUUCCUCGUCAGAUCCCAGAUCGUUUUUCCUCUCCCUUUCAACUCCUCUGCGCCACCAUUACUCUAAAGGCCGUAUCAUUAAAGUUCAGCUCGGCCAAAACCUACCACUUACCGAGAUUUUCGCUUUGGAAAGUGCGAGCAAAGGUUAUGCUACCGAGAAGGUACUGAUUCUUCAUGGGUUGGGUCUCAGUUCCUUUUCUUUUAGAAAAGUGAUUGACUUUUUGGGCUUCAAAGGUAUUCAUGGGGUCGUUUUUGAUUUGCCCGGAAAUGGAUUCUCUGAUAAAUCAAUGGAGGUGUUUGAGGAGAGAGGAAACGGGAUUUUUGAGAGGUUAUGGGAUGCCUAUAGUUUGAUUAAAGAGAAGGGUCUGUUUUGGGCUUUUGAUAACAUGGUUGAAACAGGUGAGGUUCCUUAUCAAGAAAUUGUGUCCCAUUAUAAUAACUUGAGGAGUGUCGUUAAGCCUAUUGCAUUGGGUAGUGAAGAGAUGGGCAGAAUUUUGGAGCAAUUAAUUGAAACAAUGGGAUUAGCCCCUGUGCAUUUGGUUUUGCAUGAUUCAAGUUUAGGAAUGGUGGCAAAUUGGAUCAUGGAGAAUUCAAAGUUGGUUAGAAGUGUGACCCUUAUAGAUACUGGGUCAAGACCAGCCUUGCCUCUGUGGGUUUUGAAGAUACCAGUAGUCAGAGAGGUUGUUCUGGGGUCAAAUUUUGCAUACGAGAGAUUGGUUCACUUGUGUUGUUCAAAGGGGAUUGCUGGUUUGGAUUUGGAGGCACAUAGAGUGAUUUUGAAAGGAAGGGAUGGGAGGAGAGCGGUUGUGGGUUUGGAAAGCAAGUUGAAUUCUAGCUUUAAUGUGGCAGAAUGGGGUAAUUCGGAUGGAAUAAAGGGAAUUCCAAUUCAGGUGAUUUGGUCUAAUAGUUGGUCUAAGGAGUGGAGCGAGGAGGGACGCAGGGUAGCUGAGGCUCUAUCUCAAGCAAAAUUUGUUUUUCACUCUGGUGGACGGUGGCCUCAGCUCUAUCUUUAGUUCCAAGUUAAAUGGAAGUUAAAUAACUCGUGCAAUGCAUUUGGAGACUGGAAGCGACUUCAAUGACAAAGUGGAUGCUGUCGUCUCAUGAACUAAAUCCAUUGCUAGAGAAAGAGUUAAAAAUGAAAACACUGCAGAUGAGCUAGCCGAUAACAUUGUUAAGUUUGUAUCCUCUUUACCAAAAUCUAUUAGGAAAGUUGAAGAGGAACCUAUUCCGGACCAUAUCCAGAAAAUUCUUGACGAAGCAAAAGAGGGCAAUCAUCACGAUCACCAUCAUGGUCAUGCCCAUAUGCACGCAGCUGGCUACAUGGAUGGUUAUGGACACAGCCAUGGAUGGGGGACUUGAUCUAUUUUUAUUCUCUUGUUUCAGAUGGUGUAUAAUGGUCAUCCAUUAGAAGUUGAACUGGAAUGGCAUUAUCCUUUGUGUGAUAUAGUAUAUUGUUGUACCAAAUACUUCUGCUAUGACCAGAUUUUGCGAUACCAUUGAUAGUUAAUUUGGGGCCUAUAUAUGCAAUUUCUUUUUGUAAUGGCCAGCUUAUUUUUGCAAUAAAAUACUUUGACCGCUCCAGUUUUCUUCAAA